UUUAGAUAGCUUUUGCCCUCACACAUUCUAGUCUGCUUAUUCCUUAUUAUCUUACGAUAAUACAUUUUGAUACAUUUAGAAAUAAUUUGUUAUCUUCUCUUAGAGCAAGGGGUUUUCCUCUUCCUUGCACUGUCCUUUCACUGGCAAUAUGGUCCUUCAGCUUCCCAGCUUUCUAGUGGAUUCUCCACCAUGCACCUCCUCCUCUCCACGCAGUUACACCAGUGCCCUGUUUAGUGCCAUUUCUCCACUGGAUUAAGGAUGCAAAAAAUCAAACUCAAGAACAGAAAGAAAGAAAGGAAGAAAACAAGUGGGAAGGCAGUCAGCAGAACUACAGUCCACAGAGGGAAUGAGGACUAAAGGAAAACAUUACAGUUUCUCCAGAUGGAGAGAGGAGCAGGAGGGGGUGCGUUCAAGUCCUAAAUCUGUGUUCUUUGGCCUCCAUAUUUGUGAAGAAGACAAUGUAAUACAUUUUGGUAGAGGAAGCUGACUGAAAUAGAACCUCUAGUUUUAAUAUUUUUGGGGAAUUUCAACAUUGAUUUCUUCAGUGGCUGCACCAGUCUACACUCCUACCAAAGAGAAGGAUUCCUUUUUCUCCACAGCCCUGCCAGCGUUUGUUAUUGGUUGAUUUCCUGAUG